rnacentral:tRNA from 1 species
AGGGCUGUAGCUCAGUGGCAGAGCACUUGCCUUACACAUAUGAGACACUGGGUUUGAUCCUCAGCCCCA